UACAGAGGAGGCAAGCGUUAUCCGGAAUUAUUGGGCGUAAAGCGUCCGCAGGUGGCGAUUCAAGUCUGCGGUUAAAGCCUGGGGCUUAACCCUGGAAAGGCCGUGGAAACUGAAACGCUAGAGUGCAGUAGGGGUAGAGGGAAUUCCCGGUGUAGCGGUGAAAUGCGUAGAGCUCGGGAAGAACAUCGGUGGCGAAAGCGCACUGCUGGACUGCAACUGACACUCAGGGACGAAAGCUAGGGGAGCGAAUGGG
rnacentral:rRNA from 1 species